AACGUAGGUGGCGAGCGUUAUCCGGAUUUACUGGGCGUAAAGGGUGUGCAGGCGGGUGAACAAGUGGUGUAUGAAAGGUUUCGGCUCAACCGAGAUAGGUUAUGCCAGACUGUUUACCUAGAGUGUGAGAGAGGGACGUGGAAUUCCCGGUGUAGCGGUGAAAUGCGCAGAUAUCAGGAGGAACACCGAUGGCGAAGGCAGAUCUCUGGGCCGUAACUGACGCUGAGGAGCGAAAGCAUGGGGAGCGAACAGG
rnacentral:rRNA from 1 species